CUAAGAUUUCUUGAAUCUUUUUCAAUUUUAGAAGUUAGGAAAUGCAACUAAAAAUUAGAGUAAUUUUCUUUUUCUUUUCGGAGAAAAGAAGAAGUUUGAUUCUGGCUUAAAUCUCGCUAUUUUUAUACUUUACAUACUAUCAAAUGUUUUCUAAAAGAAAUAGAUGUAGUAAUGAAUAUUAAUUCUUAUAACAUGUAGAUUUAGUAAUAAAAAUAAAGUCGGCAAAUAUCGUGCCAGCCGCCGCGGUUAGACGAAGGACUUAAGUGUGAUUUAUUGGUAGAAUGCAGUAAAAUUUAAUUUAAAAUGGUUAUAGACUUAUUUAAUUAAAAGUGAAAUUUUCAUCUAAAUUACAAAGACCAUCAAAAUUGUUUUUCAUCUGCUUAAAUAAGAUCUUAAACUAGGAUUAGAUACCCUAUUAUUCUUAUCUAAUAUUGCCAGGGUAGUAAAAGACAAUCUUCAAACCCAAAGAAUUUGACGGCAUCUCAUUCUUAUCAGAGGAACCUGUCCCUUAAUCGAUAGUCCACGUUCUACCUUACCUUUUUUUGUUUAGUCUGUAUACCGCCGUUGUCAGAUGAUUCUUAGAAGAGAUCAUCUUAAUUAAUUAUUUUACUGACUUCAGGUCAAGGUGCAACUUAUAAAAAGGUGGUGAUGGGUUACAUUAAUUAUAAAUUAAACGGAAGGAAAAUGAAAAACUAACUUAAGGUGGAUUUGAAAGUAAACUUAUUUCAUUAUGAUAAGUUGAAAGAAGCUCUGAGAUGUGUACACAUCGCCCGUCGCUCUUCCUAAUAAAGGAAGAUAAGUCGUAACAUAGUAGAUGUACUGGAAAGUGUAUCUAGAAAGCA
rnacentral:rRNA from 1 species